GGUGUAGGCGGCUUGGCAAGUGUCCUGUGAAAGCCCCCGGCUCAACCGGGGAAUUGCAGGGCAAACUGCUUGGCUUGAGGUUGGUAGAGGUGCCUGGAACUCUAGGUGGAGCGGUGAAAUGCGUAGAUAUCUAGAGGAACGCCAGAGGCGAAAGCGGGGCACUGGGCCGAUUCUGACGCUGAGACCCGAAAGCGUGGGGAGCAAACA
rnacentral:rRNA from 1 species